rnacentral:lncRNA from 1 species
GAGUGCUCCCUUGCCAAUCUUGGAGAGUCACGAGCUUUCUUCUCUGACUCUGGAGUAUAGAAGGGAGUGCGGGCGGGACAGUGUGCUUCAGUCCCUGACUGCAGUCUCAGGUGCUGAUAUUGGCAAUUUGGGAAGCAAUGGUGGCGUUGAGUGCCAGCACUUGCUCCGACUUGAGGAAGGAGCUGAGAUUGUAAGGGGAAGGACUGAGUGGAGGCCCAAAUAUGCCAACAAUCUUGGGAUUGUGGGUCAGCUUCCGG